rnacentral:rRNA from 1 species
UACGGGGGGGGCAAGCGUUGUUCGGAAUUACUGGGCGUAAAGGGCUCGUAGGCGGCCAACUAAGUCAGACGUGAAAUCCCUCGGCUUAACCGGGGAACUGCGUCUGAUACUGGAUGGCUUGAGUUUGGGAGAGGGAUGCGGAAUUCCAGGUGUAGCGGUGAAAUGCGUCGAGAUUGGGAAGAACAUCAGUGGCGAAAGCGCUCUACUGGACCUUAUCUGACAUUGAGGGACGAAAGCUAGGGGAGCGAAUGGG